rnacentral:rRNA from 1 species
CCUACGGGAGGCAGCAGUGAGGAAUAUUGGUCAAUGGACGAGAGUCUGAACCAGCCACGUAGCGUGAAGGAUGACUGCUCUAUGGGUGGUAAACUUCUUUUAUAUGGGAGUAAAAUGUUCCACGUGUGGGAUUUUGUAUGUACCAUAUCAAUAAGGAUCGGCUAACUCCGUGUCAGCAGCCGCGGUAAUACGGAGGAUCCGAGCGUUAUCCGGAUUUAUUGGGUUUAAAGGGAGCGUAGGUGGAUUGUUAAGUCAGGUGUGAAAGUUUGCGGCUCAACCGUAGAAUUGCAGUUGAAACUGGCAGUCUUGAGUACAGUAGAGGUGGGCGGAAUUCGUGGUGUAGCGGUGAAAUGCGUAGAUAUCACGAAGAACUCCGAUUGCGAAGGCAGCUCACUGGACUGCAACUGACACUGAGGCUCGAAAGUGUGGGGAUCAAACAGGAUUAGAUACCCUAGUAGUC